rnacentral:rRNA from 1 species
UGCAGUCGAACGGCAGCACGGAGCUUGCUCUGGUGGCGAGUGGCGAACGGGUGAGUAAUGCGUCGGAACGUAUCCAAUAAUGGGGGAUAACGCAGCGAAAGCUGUGCUAAUACCGCAUACGCCCUCCGGGGGAAAGCAGGGGAUCGUAAGACCUUGCGUUAAUGGAGCGGCCGACGUCUGAUUAGCUAGUUGGUAGGGUAAAGGCCUACCAAGGCGACGAUCAGUAGCUGGUCUGAGAGGAUGAUCAGCCACACUGGGACUGAGACACGGCCCAGACUCCUACGGGAGGCAGCAGUGGGGAAUUUUGGACAAUGGGCGCAAGCCUGAUCCAGCCAUUCCGCGUGAGUGAAGAAGGCCUUCGGGUUGUAAAGCUCUUUCAGGAGGGAAGAAACGAUUGUGGCUAAUACCCAUGAUUAAUGACGGUACCUUCAGAAGAAGCACCGGCUAACUACGUGCCAGCAGCCGCGGUAAUACGUAGGGUGCGAGCGUUAAUCGGAAUUACUGGGCGUAAAGCGUGCGCAGGCGGUUUUUCAAGUCUGAUGUGAAAUCCCCGGGCUUAACCUGGGAACUGCGUUGGAAACUGAAAGACUAGAGUGCGGCAGAGGGGGGUAGAAUUCCACGUGUAGCAGUGAAAUGCGUAGAUAUGUGGAGGAAUACCGAUGGCGAAGGCAGCCCCCUGGGUCGACACUGACGCUCAUGCACGAAAGCGUGGGUAGCAAACAGGAUUAGAUACCCUGGUAGUCCACGCCCUAAACGAUGUCAACUAGUUGUUGGGGAGGGAGACCUCCUUAGUAACGCAGCUAACGCGUGAAGUUGACCGCCUGGGGAGUACGGUCGCAAGAUUAAAACUCAAAGGAAUUGACGGGGGCCCGCACAAGCGGUGGAUUAUGUGGAUUAAUUCGAUGCACGCGAAAAC